AACGAACGCUGGCGGCAUGCCUAACACAUGCAAGUCGAACGAGACCUUCGGGUCUAGUGGCGCACGGGUGCGUAACGCGGGGGAACCUGCACUUAGGUUCGGAAUAACUCCCCGAAAGGGGUGCUAAUACCGGAUAAUGUCUUCGGACCAAAGAUUUAUCGCCUUUGGAUGGGCCCGCGUUGGAUUCGCUAGUUGGUAGGGUAAAAGCCUACCAAGGCGACGAUCCAUAGCUGGUCUGAGAGGAUGAUCAGCCACACUGGGACUGAGACACGGCCCAGACUCCUACGGGAGGCAGCAGUGGGGAAUAUUGGACGAUGGGCGAAAGCCUGAUCCAGCAAUGCCGCGUGAGUGAUGAAGGCCGUAGGGUUGUAAAGUUCUCUUACCCGGGAUGAUAAUGACAGUACCGGGAGAAUAAGCACCGGCUAACUACGUG
rnacentral:rRNA from 1 species